rnacentral:tRNA from 1 species
GGGCCUAUAACUCAGCGGUAGAGUGCUCGACUCAUAAUCGAGAGGUCGCCGGUUCAAAUCUUCGGCUAGGCCCA